GUGCUCUCUUUGGCAACACAUAUACUAAAGUUGGAACAACACAAAGACUAGCAUGGCCCCUGAGCAAGGAGAUGCAAUUUCAUUAAGCAUAUCAUUAAAAAAAU